rnacentral:rRNA from 1 species
AAAACAUGGCUUGUUGAGUAUGAUUUCAAGUUUGGCCUGCCCGCUGAAAUAAUUGAAUGGCCGCGGUAUAUUGACUGUGCAAAGGUAGCAUAAUCACUAGUUUUUUAAUUGAAAGCUUGAAUGAAGGGUUUGAUGAAAAAUUAUCUGUCUCUGAUAUAAUUUAUUAAAAUUUUAUUUUUAAGUGAAAAAGCUUAAAUUUUUGUUAAAGACGAGAAGACCCUAUAGAGUUUUAUUAGUAGAAUAAAAUUUGAUAUUAAGAAUUUAAGUUUAGAUUUAUUUAUAUUAAUUUUAUUGGGGUGAUAAAAAAAUUAAAAUAACUUUUUUAUAUUUUUAUAUUAAUAUGUAAAUAUUUGAUCCUUGAGUGAAAGAUUAAAAGAAUAAAUUACCUUAGGGAUAACAGCGUAAUUUUUUCUAGAGUUCUUAUCAAAGAAAAGGAUUGCGACCUCGAUGUUGGAUUAAAAUUAAUUAUUGGUGCAGAAGCUAAAUAAGGAGGGUCUGUUCGACCUUUAAAAUUUUACAUGAUCUGAGUUUAAACCGGUGUGAGCCA